CUGUCGAAGAGUCGGGAGCGGUGAGGGCGGCAACAACAGAUCCACAGGUGUGCUGCUCUCCCAGACAAGGCCGCAUCCUUGUAAAUGGAAAACUGGUUUUGUAGGUACCGUAUGCCUUUCUCUACUUCAGAAGGACUUCUCUUACCUUAAGACUCCUUGAGAACAAACAAAUAAAAAUGGUCAGUGAAGAAACCACAAGGGGCAAGGCCCGCAGUCCGGAACGUCUUAGGUUUAUCAGAAAUCACAUAUCAAGAGAAAGUGGUUGAAGAAAUCUAAGUAGAGGCUGACCUUGGUCUUCUCAGAAAGUCAUUCACAGCACAUUCUAUGGAUCUGGAAAUCCCUGAGGACCAACCCAGGUACUAAUAAUGUCAGUGUCUUGCUCAGCCAUCGUUAGAGAAGCUUCCUCCUGCACUAGAUGGAAAUAAAUAUCAAGACCUACAUACAGCUGGACAAUGUGUAGAGUGAGAGAACUUGGAACCUCUGGUCGGAAAUGGGGUACCUCCAUCAAGUCUCUUCCCUCAGAGUUCAGGCAACUCUGUGGAUGAGGUGGCAGAAGGACUGUAAGAGCCAGAGGAGAUGGAAGACGCUAAGAAAACAAGGCCUUCCUAACAGGGCAGGAUCAAUAUAUAUUAACUCAAGACACUGUGAUAGCAUGCCCAGGGCCUGCACAAGUCAGGACCUAAUGGUGCUCCAGUGCUUAGAGUAGAAAUGGACACAAGUCCACAUCCCUAACUCAGAAGCUAUCUCCAAUUGAUAACUGCUUGCCAAUGAAACAUUCCAUUUCUCCAGUGGAGUCUCACUUGGGAUACCAACCACAGGUCCCAUGCCCAGCAGCACGUGGCCGAAACAAAAUGAACCUACUAUGCUUGUUCGUUUGUUCUUGGUCUCAUAAUGUUUAUUUGGACAUUGUUCUUUCUUUUUAUUUUAUUUUUAUCCUACUGGUCUUUUGGUUAUAUGUUAUAAUUUCCUAUUUUGUGGGGUGUUUUGGGGA
rnacentral:lncRNA from 1 species